UGGGAUUAAUACCGAUAGGUUCUGAGAUGAUGAUGAAAGGCCUCAGGGCCCAAACCCUGCGGGGGCUCGAGGAUGGUUUUGCGGCCUAUCAGGUAGUAGGGGGUUUCACGGACCCCCUAAGCCAUAGACGGGUACGGGCUUUGGGAGAAGUCGCCCGGAGAUGGAUUCUGAGACACGAUAUCAGGCCCUACGGGGCGCAGCAGGCGCGAAAACUUCACACUGUGCGAAAGCACGAUGAGGGAAUCCCAAGUGCUGGCUCGUAAGAGUCAGCUGUUUUUCUGUCUAGAAAACAGAGAGAGUAAGAGCUGGGUAAGACGGGUGCCAGCCGCCGCGGUAAUACCUGCAGCUCAAGUGGUGGCCGCUAUUAUUGGGCCUAAAACGUUCGUAGCCGGUCUAGUAAAUGCCUGGGUAAAUCAUACGGCUUAACCGUACGAAUUCCGGGUAGACUGCUGGACUUGGGACUGGGAGAGGCUAGAGGUACUCCUGGGGUAGAGGUGAAAUUCUGUAAUCCUAGGGGGACGACCAGUGGCGAAGGCGUCUAGCUAGAACAGGUCUGACGGUGAGGAACGAAGCCCUGGGGCGCAAACGGGAUUAGAUACCCCGGUAGUCCAGGGUGUAAACGCUGCUUGCUUGAUGUUAGUCGGGCUCCGAGCCCGAUUAGUGUCGGAGAGAAGUUGUUAAGCAAGCUGCCUGGGGAGUACGGCCGCAAGACUGAAACUUAAAGGAAUUGGCGGGGGAGCACAAGGGCGAAUUCCAGCACACUGGCGGCCGUUACUAGUGGAUCCGAGCUCGGUACCGAGCUU
rnacentral:rRNA from 1 species